GCUCGAGUGGCGAACGGGUGAGUAACACGUGAGUAACCUGCCCUUGACUUUGGGAUAACUUCAGGAAACUGGGGCUAAUACCGGAUAGGAGCUCCUGCUGCAUGGUGGGGGCUGGAAAGUUUCGGCGGUUGGGGAUGGACUCGCGGCUUAUCAGCUUGUUGGUGGGGUAGUGGCUUACCAAGGCUUUGACGGGUAGCCGGCCUGAGAGGGUGACCGGCCACAUUGGGACUGAGAUACGGCCCAG
rnacentral:rRNA from 1 species